GCUGACGAGUGGCGGACGGGUGAGUAAUGCUUGGGAACUUGCCUUUGCGAGGGGGAUAACAGUUGGAAACGACUGCUAAUACCGCAUAAUGUCUUCGGACCAAACGGGGCUUAGGCUCCGGCGCAAAGAGAGGCCCAAGUGAGAUUAGCUAGUUGGUGGGGUAAAGGCUCACCAAGGCGACGAUCUCUAGCUGUUCUGAGAGGAAGAUCAGCCACACUGGGAUUGAGACACGGCCCAGACUCCUACGGGAGGCAGCAGUGGGGAAUAUUGCACAAUGGGGGAAACCCUGAUGCAGCCAUGCCGCGUGUGUGAAGAAGGCCUUCGGGUUGUAAAGCACUUUCAGUUGUGAGGAAAGAUUGGUAGUUAAUACCUGCCAGUUGUGACGUUAGCAACAGAAGAAGCACCGGCUAACUCCGUGCCAGCAGCCGCGGUAAUACGGAGGGUGCAAGCGUUAAUCGGAAUUACUGGGCGUAAAGCGCACGCAGGCGGUUUGUUAAGCUAGAUGUGAAAGCCCCGGGCUCAACCUGGGAUGGCCAUUUAGAACUGGCAGACUAGAGUCUUGGAGAGGGGAGUGGAAUUCCAGGUGUAGCGGUGAAAUGCGUAGAUAUCUGGAGGAACAUCAGUGGCGAAGGCGACUCCCUGGCCAAAGACUGACGCUCAUGUGCGAAAGUGUGGGUAGCGAACAGGAUUAGAUACCCUGGUAG
rnacentral:rRNA from 1 species